rnacentral:rRNA from 1 species
AAUAUUGGACAAGGGGUGAAAGCCUGACCCAGUCAUGCCGCGUGUGUGAAGAAUGCCUUCGGGUUGUAAAGCACUUUUGGCAGGGAAGAAAAGGCUCUGGCUAAUACCUGGGGCUGCUGACGGUCCCUGCAGUAGAAGUUCCGGCUCACGCCGUGCCAGCAGCCGCGGUAAUACGUCGGGUGCAAGCGUUAAUCGGAAUUACUGGGCGUCAAGCGUGCGCAGGCGGUUCGGCAAGAAGGAUGUGAAAUCCCAGGGCUUAACCUUGGAACUGCAUUCUUAACUGCCGGGCUAGAGUAUGUCAGAGGGGGGUAGAAUUCCGCGUGUAGCAGUGAAAUGCGUAGAGAUGCGGAGGAAUACCGAUGGCGAAGGCAGCCCCCUGGGAUGAUACUGACGCUCAUGCACGAAAGCGUGGGGAGCAAAC